rnacentral:rRNA from 1 species
GCCUACGGGAGGCAGCAGUGGGGAAUUUUGGACAAUGGGGGCAAGCCGCUGAUCCAGCCAUGCCGCGUGAGAGAGACGAAGGCCUUGCGGGUUGUAAAGCUCUUUCGGAUCGGAAAGGAAAGUACGCAGUGGGCGUGACUA